UCUCUCUACAGCUGUAUCCAUUUCCUCCUGGCAAAAAGGGACUUUAUGAAUAAAUGAUACUGAAAUGCUGAGGGUUCAGAUACUAAAUAAUGAAUUUCACCACCAAAAACACAACAACUUCUCCAAUCAUAAAAUACCGCUCCUUCCAUAUUGAUUGUGCUUUGGCAACUAGAUGCAGUGCUAGGCUUCACUCUGCAAGGUGUUUAAAAAGAAAAACAGGUUUACCCGGGAUUUAUCAUGUAUGGAAAAAUGUAAUAGCUAAGUAGGCUGUCUGCUAAUGUCUGGCAUAAUGUUUCUUCAUAAUGGUUAACCCUUUUGCAGGGAGUGGAAUAAGAGUGCCUCUCUCUCUAGAUGGGAACUUUGCUCCAUGGGACAUUACACCAGGAAGCCAUGGUGCUGUGUUGCUCCUGGUGACACUGAAUGUGAUUAAGGAAACUUCCUUAACCCAUUAGCUUCAUUGUGUGAACUGUUAUAGACUCAGUAGUACUACUGCAAGCAAUAAUGAUUUUUCAGGUUUCCUACACAGUCAUGAGAUCUUGCAUCAUUUCCAUCAAGAUCAUUCAGUUGUUUAUGUUACCACAAGCUAUUCCUUCUACUUGAAGUGAAGGUACUGUAUGCCUUAAGGCAGAAAAACGCAUAAAGGUAUCUGGAAAAGUAAAUUGCCAGAAGCGAAGAGCACCCUCGCUUUCAAAAUCCUGUGGAUGGGGCAUUUCUGUAAGAAAUUAGCAGUGUCGAGACACAGGCUCGAAAGAGAGCCGCGUAUGGCGCUAGUCGCUGCUUCCUCGGGCAGAAAUCUCGCUGGAGCCCAGCACGGCAGUCUCGAGCACGCAGUUCGCUUUCAGACAGACACAGCUUUCGCCUCCUCUCCCAUCUCUCCUCUAUUUUCCCCCUCUCCUCUCUCUUUCUGCUCCUCGUAGAGCAGCGCUUUAAUAAAGUCACAUAAGUGAUUGAAAUUAACAUAAAUCAUUAUUAGUUAUUAGGAUUUGCUCUAAAUUACUCCGUGAAUAUAACACCAAACCCCAUCUGCCACUCCUGCUCUAGCGGCAAUAGAUUGCAGAUAAAAUAAAUGUCCUUACCCCAUUAGAAUGUUCCUGUCUCUGUAGCCAAAAGCCAAACAAAAGCAAUAAAUACCGAGCUUUUUUCUCUCCACUAUUCAGCUGUGACUGUUUUCAUCAGCUCUGCCUCUAGAAAAGCUCGAUAGCUGCCUGAAAAUAUUGCAUUUUAUAUCACCAAAGGGCGAUUAAUAUUGCAUUAACUGUAUUUAACAUUUUUUAAGCGCGAGUAAUCUGAAAUGAGUAAGUUUCUGUUACUAAAUACAGGGGAUGUCAGAGCUGGUGAAAACAGCUUAAAAUAUCUGUAUAAACAGAUUAUUUGUUUCGUACUUUGUAUUUUUAUAAUGUUAUGGUAUAGUGUGCUCUGUUUGAAGUAGAAGAAGCCAUGCUAAUGGUCUGUUUAAAGUAUUCUGACACUGUCUGGAGACAUCCAAGUCUCUGCCUUCAUUAAAUGUUUAUUGUCAACACUUCAGUGAAAAAAAGUCUCGUGUAAGUGAAUUUCCACUGCUGGAUGCUGUCAACACUUUGUUUUAUUCUGAUCCGCGUGUACAAAAGUUUGUAUACAUUAUGCUGAAGUGAAGAGAGGCAGAGAUUUAGUGCGCUAUAAUUAGUUACCAAACAAACUUUUGUUAGUAAUUCGCUUUGCAUAAUGACCAUAAUCAAGGACAAAGAUGUGUAUAUCGCCGCCUUGUCUUCUCCCGGCGCAGCCUGUACAAAGACGCGCUCAUGUUGACAUGCUGUCCUCUCGUCAAGGAACAUCUAUUUAAAAUAAAAAAUAAAUAAAUAAAUAAAAAAAGGAGGGGGAAAAAAAGAAAAAAAAAAAAAAGCCCACAGCUUUUACAUAUUUUAGCUCUGCCUUCCACUUUUAAGUUGUUCCCUUUCAUCCGACCGAGGGAUGCGCGCAUGCCUCCAUCCCUCCCCGGCUCCAGCGCUCAGCAGCACGAAGCCCGUUCCCAUCGCUCAACCCGUUUUAGGGCGUUUUGUCUCCGCGCGGAAACAGAUCUGUGCGAGCGGGAGGGUCGGGCAACUCUUCCGUUGGAGGGGACUAUUUGGGAACUGGCACGAAUCGAUGCGAAGUUACCAUUUGUCUGCAACGCAGCAGCGUCAGUUCUAGGGUUUAAUUUUGAUAUAAAGCCUUUUCAAUACUUUGCUUCUUAGACUGAUUCGCUUUUUAUGACAUCAGAUUUUUUUUUAAAGCAAUCCCCCCCACCCCCGCCCCCGUUUUUAAAAAUAAGUGUUUCAGAACUUUCCUCCCAGAGUCAGAGAUGCUCUGGAAGAGUAAACACCGCGCGGGGGCCGGGUGGAAGUUUUGCCUUCAGGCGAACGGGAGAAAAGCAGUGCCGGGGGCAGGGAGGGCGGUGAGCACUCCACAGCCGCUCAAAUAGAGGUGGAGGGGCAAAGGCGCAAAAUGCGCGCUGCUGCCCUGGGGUGCUGCCCCGCCUAUCCUCAGCCGGUGUUUCUCCUCCUGGAGAUGGGCCCUCGGUGCAGAAGCCUCUUUCUGCGACUGCUGCUUUCUUGGUUUCUUCAAACAUACGGACGUUACAUCCUAUUUGAAAUGAACUUUUGAGCCACGGGUCCUGUCCAUCCGUCCAUCCGUGAUCCAUCCAUCCAUCUCUCCCUCCCUCCAUUCAUCCAUCCAUCCACCCACCCCCAUUCACUCGCUGUGCCGUGGAUGCCAAGAGCUCUUGCUCGCAGUUCUUUUACUUUGGCCCCAUCUCUGCUCACCCGUGUAUACACCCACCUCCAGUUCCACUUCCCUCCCAAACUGAGCCUCGUCCGGUUUCGGAAGAGAGGGUUGUAAAGAAGGGGGGAAAAAAAACGUUUUCCGAAAGCAGAUAGGGGAGGGGGAAGAAGG
ensembl:lncRNA